AAAGUCGUAACAAGGUUUCCGUAGGUGAACCUGCGGAAGGAUCAUUAAAGAGUUUUAAAUGGGGUUGGUCUAUAGCACUGGAGGAGGGUAAGGUUUGAAGGCCAUAAUGGUAAAAGGUAAAGGCCUUUUACUUAGCCUAAAAUCCCCCCUAUACCAUGCUAUAUAUAAAACCAUAACCUAUGCGUAUGUUGUGUUUGACUGUGUAAUAAGUGACUAAGAGACAGAGACAACUUUUAACAAUGGAUCUCUUGGCUCUC
rnacentral:misc_RNA from 1 species